UACAGAGGGUGCAAGCGUUGUUCGGAAUUAUUGGGCGUAAAGGGCGCGUAGGCGGUUCGGCAAGUCUCUAGUGAAAUCUCUGGGCUCAACUCAGAGUCUGCUGGGGAAACUGCCGGGCUUGAGUGUGGGAGAGGAGAGUGGAAUUCCCGGUGUAGCGGUGGAAAUGCGUAGAUAUCGGGGAGGAACACCUGUGGCGAAAGCGGCUCUCUGGACCACAACUGAC
rnacentral:rRNA from 1 species